rnacentral:rRNA from 1 species
UGGGGAAUAUUGGGCAAUGGGCGAAAGCCUGACCCAGCGACGCCGCGUGGGUGAUGAAGGCCUUCGGGUUGUAAAACCCUUUCGUGCGGAAAGAAUAGUCUCGUAGCGAAUAACUAUGGGAUUUGACGGUACCGCAGGAAGAAGCACCGGCUAACUCCGUGCCAGCAGCCGCGGUAAUACGGAGGGUGCAAGCGUUGUUCGGAAUUAUUGGGCGUAAAGGGCGCGUAGGUGGUUGUGAUAGUCAGAUGUGAAAUCCUUCGGCUCAACCGAAGAACUGCAUCUGAAACUUCAUAGCUCGAGUACAGGAGAGGGAAACGGAAUUCCCGGUGUAGAGGUGAAAUUCGUAGAUAUCGGGAGGAACACCAGUGGCGAAGGCGGUUUCCUGGCCUGAUACAGACGCUGAGGCGCGAAAGCGUGGGGAGCAAACAG